rnacentral:lncRNA from 1 species
AUGGGGGGUAACUCUGCAAAGCUGUCCUUCUGCCUCAAAGAUCAUUCCGCAGACACUGCUCUCUCCGUUAGAGUGUGCGGGGAAUAUUGGAAGAAAGGAAGGAUCCUUGCCCCUCCCCCAUUCACAGCAGAGCAGAACAGCAGGUUUGUCUGUUCAAAAACACAUGCCUUGGGAGUUGCUUCACUCGGGGUCAAACCUGUCUUCUCAGCAGCAAAGAUGAAGAAUUAGGAAAAACCUGGGAUUAAAAGGAGCAAGAGAGAACAUUGUCUUUAGAGGGAGUGGGCAAGAACGACCCAAGCUUCUAGGCUCUAAUCUGGGAGGCACAGAGGAUCGGGAAGGAUCUGAAAAACUGACACUGAACCUUCGCGAAGCAGAGAGAGAAGCUGGGGAGUUGGGAGGAGUCCACAGAAGUGAAAAGCUCCUGACCUCUGAGCCUCAGUCCCCACGUCCCUGAAAUAAGAAUAAGAACCAUACUUGCUCUGCCCAUUUCAAAGAGGUGGUGUGAGGAUUAAAGGAAAUGGUGAGUAUGAAUGUGUUUUCAAAGCUUGAAAACACUAUGCUAAUACAAUAGAGCCUUUUAAAGCUAAUUUUGGCACUGGGUCAAGUGAGCAGGUGCCACUUGAUGACAGUCAGCUCAGGCACAGAGGAAAGUCACGGAGGGAUUAUGGCCCUCGGACGUAAAUAGCCCAGGGGCGCUUUAAAGGUUCCUGGUAGGAGGCUCAGAUACACUACGUCUUUUAGGGCCCCAAACUUCCUGAAAUGUUUUCGCAUAAAAUGUGUUUAUCACCAGCAAGACUUUACGAGGCAUAGGGAACCUGAGACUCCAGAGUUAAGGAGCUCUCCAGGCACACACGACUGGUGACGGCAGAGCCAGGACGAGGGCUCAAGCCUCCUGGCCCCUCGGCUAAAGGUCAGGCCACUCCAGGAAACCCUCCAGCAUGACUUCAACACUUUCUUGACAAUUUCCUUUGUUUCAAGCCCACGCAAGUUAAUGAGCAAGAACAAGGAGAGAGGAUAUCUCUUCCGGGGACUUCUGACGCCUUACCUAAGAGCAGUUUUCACAGGAGGGUAAUAGGCACCUUAUUUCAUCUAAAUUGGUUUCCUUUCUGCAAAGCCGAAUCCAUCUCCUUUUGAGGAAUAAAAACUGAGUGCUCAUGGCCUCCCUGUGGAAU